UACGGAGGGUGCAAGCGUUAAUCGGAAUUACUGGGCGUAAAGCGUGCGUAGGCGGUUCGUUAAGUCUGUGGUGAAAGCCCCGGGCUUAACCUGGGAAUGGCCGUUGAAACUGGCGAACUGGAGUGUGGCAGAGGGGGUGGAAUUCCGCGUGUAGCAGUGAAAUGCGUAGAGAUGCGGAGGAACACCGAUGGCGAAGGCAGCCCCCUGGGCUAACACUGACGCUCAGGCACGAAAGCGUGGGGAGCAAACAGG
rnacentral:rRNA from 1 species